GACGAACGCGGGCGGCGUGCCUAAUACAUGCAAGUAGGACGCAGUUGCGAACGGGUGAGUAACGCGUAGGUAACUACCUAUUAGAGGGGGAUAACUAGUGGAAACGAUAGAUAAUACCGCAUACUAGUAGAUGGACCUGCGUGGUAUUAGCUAGUAGGUAGGGUAAUGGCCUACCUAGGCAACGAUACAUAGCCGACCUUAGAGGGGGUUCGGCCACCCUGGGACUGAGACACGUCCCAUACUCCUACGGGAGGCAGCAGUAGGGAUUCUUCGGCAUUGGGGGGAACCCUGACCCAGCAACGCCGCGUGAGUGACGAAGGUUUUCGGAUCGUAAAGCUCUGUUGUUAAGGAAGCGGUACUUACCCAGAAAGGGCCGGCUAACUACGUGCCAGCAGCCGCGGUAAUAC
rnacentral:rRNA from 1 species